rnacentral:rRNA from 1 species
UACGGAGGGUGCAAGCGUUAUCCGGAUUUACUGGGUUUAAAGGGUGCGUAGGUGGGUUGGGAAGUCAGUGGUGAAAUACUUUCGCUUAACGAAGGAACUGCCAUUGAUACUAUCAAUCUUGAAUGUAGUGGAGGUAGGCGGAAUGCGUCAUGUAGCGGUGAAAUGCGCAGAUAUCAGGAAGAACACCCGUGGCUAAGGCGGCUCUCUAGUACGGUACUGACGCUGAGACGCGAAAGCGUGGGGAGCGAACAGG